AUCUCUGGCCAUGCCAUCCUGAACAAGCCCGAUCCCUUCUGAUCUCAGAAGCUAAGCAGGGUCAGGCCUGGUUAGUACUUGGAUGGGAGACCACCUAGAAAGACCAGGUGCUGUGUUA
rnacentral:rRNA from 1 species